UCCCCCUGCCUCAGCCCCCCCCAAGUCACUGGGAUGGUGGGCGUGCACCACUGCACCUGGCUCAGGCACAACCCUUACCUCCUCAUCUAAAGGGCCCCCAGCUCUGGUGUUCUCCCUCGUGAACCAGGGGCCGGGUCAUGGCUGAAAAUCUCCUGACACUUAAUGGCCCACUGGCCAGCUAAGAAAAACAGGGGGGCACCUGCCAUCGAGUCCACGACAGAGCAGGCCACCCAGGCCCAGCACAGCCCUGAAGGAUCCCACAGAGGCCACCCGCAGAGACCCAGAACGUGCUGUCAGGCCUGUGCAGUGGGCCCACCUGCCUAGAGGUCAGCCCGCUGCCGCUAGGACACGCUUUCUGGACCCGGCAGCCCUGAAUCCCCGCCGACACGUCUGUGCAGGCCAACCAACCAGCCAACGAGACAAAAUGCCAAUCUGACUGCAGUGUGGCCGUGCAGCAGGACCCUCGGUGGCUUUAGGACGCGCUCCUGGGGCUUCGUGUACAAGCCCGUCAGCAGUGGACCGCGUCUGACGGGGAAAUGGGCCAGACUGAGGCUCAAAGAUAACGAGGCAGAGCCUCAAUGUAGCCCACGUGCCCACCGACGUAUCUUCCUGGAAGUCCUAAAGAGAACCAGAAGGCAGAGGACAGCGGGUACUUAACAAACACCUGAAAGGCAGCCAAACACCCCGCGGGGCCACCUGGGCGGACGGCAGCAGCUUACUUCACUGUUCUGAGCCUGGUCUCCUUAUCUGGAAAGUGGGACAGACCUACCAGCCCCUGAAGAGCCCAGUCUCGCUGCAAGAAAAACAUCAGACCAAGCCCAGCGACGGGGACAUCCUGCAGAAUGCCUGGCCACCGCCUGCAAACUGCCGAGGCCACCAAGGUCAAGGAAAGCCUGAGCCUUGGGCCACCGGAGGGAGGCGAUGAGAGGACUAAAGGUGGGGGUGGUGGCACCUUAUGAGCCAAGUGAGUGUGAUGAAGUGUGGGUGUCACUAACAACAAGGAGACCACGCCACUGUUUACAGUGACAAAGGACACACUGUGUGAGAUGCUAAGCAGGGAGGCCAUCCUGUGGGGGGCUCGGAGUACCCUGAGCCACCUUCUCAAUGUUCCAUAAAUCUAAAGC